GCCGAGGUAGCUCAGUCGGUAGAGCAGCGGACUGAAAAUCCGCGUGUCAUUGGUUCGAUUCCGAUCCUCGGCA
rnacentral:tRNA from 1 species